rnacentral:rRNA from 1 species
GGCCUACGGGAGGCAGCAGUAGGGAAUUUUCGUCAAUGGGCGCAAGCCUGAACGAGCAAUGCCGCGUGAACGAGGAAGGUCUUCGGAUCGUAAAGUUCUGUUGAAGGGGAAAAAGAGCGGAGAGAGGAAAUGCUUUCUGAUUGAUAUUACCCUUCGAGGAAGUCACGGCUAAUUACGUGCCAGCAGCCGCGGUAAUACGUAGGUGGCGAGCGUUAUCCGGAAUGAUUGGGCGUAAAGGGUGCGUAGGCGGCCUGCUAAGUCUGGAGUGAAAGGUACCGGCUCAACCGGUACAGGCUCUGGAAACG